AUGCUAAAGGAUGAUUUACCCAUGGACAAAGAUUGCUUUAAUUUGGUUGUACGAAAGUUUAUGUUUGAUGACAUCCAAAUGGCACAAAAAACAAAACAUUUGAUAGCAAAACAUUAUCUGGAUAUGAAAUUUUGGAUGACUACUGAUUUUGGACGGCACCCAGACUUCCGUAAGAAGUUAGAUGUGGAACAACUAGCAAAUUCUGUUCAUAAUUGGCCUGGUAUAAAAUAUAAUGUUUCAACAUGCAAAACGAUCCAUAUUCCAGUAUAG
rnacentral:rRNA from 1 species